CUUUUUUUGCCAUUGUAAACGCAAAAUAACGCUCAGCAUCAUCGAUCUCUCACGUGACCUCUGGCCUGAAUUUAAAAUUUUUACCGGUAUUUUCGCGUACACGGCAAGCAUGGAUUCAUUGGUUCGUACACUUAUGCUGGUUGCUUAUUUUGUGCUAAAACCAGUUUAUUGCGCUUCGACACCUCGCGUUAUUUAACUUGGGGUGAAUUGACGGGUUUGCGAGCAGAGAUGUAAGCCCGAAAGCUACGUUUUGAUCGUGAGCCAUGCGGAACAAGUAUGCAUCGAAACGGGAGCCGGAUUCUGCUGCGACUGAGGAUGGCAAUACCGACAUGCAGUAAAGAGGAUGGCACCAGUGUAAAGCAACACACUCCACACACACCAAAGACAAGCUACUUCCUGCUACAAGGCCAUUGUGUGGACUUUGGCUGUUACUACAAGAAUCUGCACCAAGCACACCAUGGUCCUCAUCACAGGAGCCCCCAUCUACCCUGACAGGAAGGGGCUGGAGCCGAAUUUACAAGGAUUUUACACCACAAACAAAGAAGCGAACGCAGAAGUAUCUGGAUGAAAUAUCAAGUCUACGGAGGACUGUGUCAAGACUGAAAAGAGCCUCAGCCAUCAUUCCACCAGCACGGAUAUUGGCCGAGUCAUCCAGGUACCUCAACAAAGACUUUCUAGAAAUUCAUGUUGAGAUGCACCUGCAACCAUUGAACAAGCACGGACGACGCUGGCCAAAAGAGUUCCAUCAGUAUGCCCUUCCUUAAUCAGCUUCCCGGUCAUGUCAAAUUCAUUUGUGCCAAGUAUACAUUUUUUUCUAUACAUGCAAGCUUUUUCAUUCCCCACUCUUGUUAGGGAUAAUUCUUCUUCCUCAUUCAAACAUAAAGGUCAGCCGAUUCUUUGCUCAUACUUAAUACCAUUCACUGUCUAGUAGCAUACCAUAUCUGUAGCAGUAUUUCUUAGUAUAUGUUGCCAUGUGCAAUUCCUCUCCAGAAAUAGCCGAUGCAGCAUCGGCAUGCGUCUUGCAUUAACCGUUGCGCCGUGUGCUAUGUAGCAUUCGACUUUUCUUAAUGUUUUUGGCCUUCAGUGCUUGCAGAGCUGAGUGGCU